GUGCCAUUUGUUAUUCCAAUUAUACAUUGCACAACAUUCCACAUAUAAUCAGAAAAACUGUGGCAACAACUGGACACUCUACAGAUAUGACCCUGCGGAGCUUCCUCAACAUCCAUACUGACGUAAGCUCCCCUCCAUCUUCAUCACAAAAUCUAAUCAAUUUCAAUUAUUUUCUUUUUUGUUUUUUUCCCCCACCUCUUUACAGUAUCGAGUAUGCUCUGAUCACUUCAACAAUCGGUGCUCGACACAACGGGCACUUUCCUCCCCCACGAACUAAUUCAUUUGCACAUUUUGAACAAGUGCACAUGUGCCCACAUCUGUAUAAUAAAGAAUCAAUGUGGCUGUCACAACAAACGCAACAUGUCCCUUUCCUUACAUGACCCCACUUAGAUCCAUCCUCAGACGUCUCAGCAACCAAACCUUUUUCACCAGCUGAUCGAUUCAAAGCUGCAGACACUUCCUGUCUAACAGAACGCUGCAACUCAAGUUGCAUAUCCAUGCAGGCCUCCAACAUCCUCUGCAUGUGGCUCAUUCCUUGCUGAAGUCUUGCCAUGUCAGCUCUCAAGUCAUUAAUCAUCUCCCACUCAAGUUCUGAGCGUUGCAUGCUAUGGCGAGACCAGCUAGUAUGAUGCAAAUCCUGGUGCCAAAGAGGCUGAGGUGGGGGAACAGGUGGAGCUGGCAAAACCAAUGAAGGUCUGUUCAUAACAUCACGUUGAUCCUCAUUUUGUUCAUCUCUCUGCUGGUCCUCAUCUCGCUCUGGUGAAGUGGGAGUCGGUGUUGGCAAGUUUCUGUGCAGAUCCCAAUCAAUGGGAGCACGACCUUGCCUCUCUACAUAUGACUGUAUUAAUUGGUCCAGACUUUCACGGAAACCACUACGAAGAAGAUUAGAAACACUUCUCCUGCUCAAAAGUUCCCUAAGUUCCAUACUAUACACAUUGUCAUCAUCAGGAGGGUGAAAUCUAUUAUAUCUUCUCAUUGGAACAGCACGACGCAUCCUUGGAGGAUCAGAAGGCCCCUCUGUCCAAUUUUCGACAGCUUCACGAGAGCCAUUCUGAUGCCAACCUCGCUGAGCAUCUUGAGGACGACUUUGUUCACUCUGUACAUUUCCAGGUGUUUCCUGGGGCCAGUCAUUAACUGAAUUC
rnacentral:misc_RNA from 1 species